rnacentral:rRNA from 1 species
UGGAUCCAGACUUUGAUUAUGGCUCAGGAUGAACGCUGGCGGCGUGCCUAAUACAUGCAAGUCGAACGAAACUUCUUUAUCACCGAGUGCUUGCACUCACCGAUAAAGAGUUGAGUGGCGAACGGGUGAGUAACACGUGGCAACCUGCCCAAAAGAGGGGGAUAACACUUGGAAACAGGUGCUAAUACCGCAUAACCAUAGUUACCGCAUGGUAACUAUGUAAAAGGUGGCUAUGCUACCGCUUUUGGAUGGGCCCGCGGCGCAUUAGCUAGUUGGUGGGGUAAAGGCUUACCAAGGCAAUGAUGCGUAGCCGAACUGAGAGGUUGAUCGGCCACAUUGGGACUGAGACACGGCCCAAACUCCUACGGGAGGCAGCAGUAGGGAAUCUUCCACAAUGGGCGAAAGCCUGAUGGAGCAACGCCGCGUGGGUGAAGAAGGUCUUCGGAUCGUAAAACCCUGUUGUUAGAGAAGAAAGUGCGUGAGAGUAACUGUUCACGUUUCGACGGUAUCUAACCAGAAAGCCACGGCUAACGACGUGCCAGCAGCCGCGGUAAUACGUAGGUGGCAAGCGUUAUCCGGAUUUAUUGGGCGUAAAGGGAACGCAGGCGGUCUUUUAGGUCUGAUGUGAAAGCCUUCGGCUUAACCGGAGUAGUGCAUUGGAAACUGGGAGACUUGAGUGCAGAAGAGGAGAGUGGAACUCCAUGUGUAGCGGUGAAAUGCGUAGAUAUAUGGAAGAACACCAGUGGCGAAAGCGGCUCUCUGGUCUGUAACUGACGCUGAGGUUCGAAAGCGUGGGUAGCAAACAGGAUUAGAUACCCUGUAGUCCACGCCGUAAACGAUGAAUGCUAAGUGUUGGAGGGUUUCCGCCCUU